rnacentral:lncRNA from 1 species
UUGGCCUCACUUUCAUUAUCUGAUGUUCCUUAUCUAGUAAUUUCUAGUGUAAAUUUCUCACAUAAAUGAAAUCAAUUUCCUCAAAGUCUGUUAGAACAAAUUCAUUUCCACUUCAGAAUCUUUGUUUAGGUUUCUUUCCCCCCUGGAUACCAAAGCCACCACCUCGACUAGUUCAAAUCCUUCAUGUAUUCCUGUAGCACGGAAGUCCUGCCAUCUCAAAUAGUUUUCUCUAAAAAAUACUGAUGAUGACAAAUUCUAUGUUGAAUAGACUGAUCAUAGGAUACCUGGAUUGUUUCAAAUUUACUUGUGUUUUCUCCCCUGCCAGAAUGUAAAGUUCCUG